rnacentral:misc_RNA from 1 species
CGCACAUUGCGCCCAUUAGUAUUCUAGUGAGCAUGCCUAUUCGAGCGUCAUUUCAACCCUUAAGCAACCGUUGCUUAGCGUUGGGAACCUACCGUUCAGACGGUAGCUCCCUAAAAUUAGUGGCAGAGUUGCAGCGUACUCUAGGCGUAGUAGUGAUACCCUCGCCUCUGAAGUAGCUUUAAUUUCUAGCCGUUAAACCCCUAAAUUUAUAGUGGUUGACCUCGGAUUAGGUAGGAAUACCCGCUGAACUUAA